GGCCUGCGCGGUGUCCUCACCGAGGGGGGAGGCUGUCCUGCAGCCACUCAGCUCCUCAUGAGCUCCGGCUCCUGGCUGAGCUAGCUGGGCGCUGUCUUUGGUGCCUCCCCCACUGCCUCAGGGACCCUCUGCCACAGAGGACUGCCACUCACCCUCGUCUGACAUUACCAAGUGGAGUGUCACCCUGGCCUCACCUCCCAAGGUGAGCCAGGAGGAUGUGAUCCUGAUGGGUGGUGACAUUGCCUGGCGGGGAAGAAACAGCAAUUCAGGCAUCAAGAGCUCAGAAGAGCGUCCGGCCUGCAGCCUGCGCUCACUGAGUGAGCGUGAGCCGUUCUGCUGUACCAUCAGCUGGAGGAGAGAUGGAACGCUCCAUGGAAAUCCCUCUAAUUCCACCCACAUGCAGUGAAGAGACGAAGGUGAGUCUGGAGGCAGAAGACCAGGCCCCAGAGCACAGCUCUGAUACCAUGGCUGUGUGAUCUUAGGCAGGCCUCUUAACUUCUCUGUGUUUCAGCGGCAUCCAUUGUAAGUUGGAGUAGGCACACCCACCUUCAGCACUGCUGCGAGGACAAAUGAGAUGACGUGCCUGAACGGGAGACCCCCUGGGAGGGCUGAGCCCCUGGUGGUAGGAACCACAUGGCUGAUAAAGCUUGAAACCGUCACCUACCCUUGAACCAGUUAUCUGCCCAGCGAAUCCUUCAAAAUCCUGCCAUUCCAGAGACAAUACCUGUGAAAGGUUUUGUAGAUAUCAUUUCAGUUUCUUUUUAAAUGCAUAUUAUAGCAAAGGCUAUAUGUGAUUUUCUUUUUGUAGGACUUAAUUUAUGCAAUAGUUACUUAAUGCACUGAGAGGUGCAUACUGGUGAACUAAACAGCAAAGCCCUUGCUCACUAAAAUGAGAUUAUGUGAUAAAUAGAAAAAGGACUUAGUGUAACUUAGACAUCAGCCCCUGGGAGCAUCAACAUCAUUACUGAAUGCUUAGUUUGUGACACAUACUUGGAUAAGGACUUCGUGUACAUUAUUUUAUUCUAGCACUGGGACCCUAUGAGGAAGGUGCUAUCCUUAUUCUCAUUUUUUAGGGUUUUAUGCCCAAGAGUCAAUUAAGCAGAGAAAAGUUGAGGAACAAGACAGAGAUAAGAAGUGGUGGAGCCAGGAUCUGGACCAGACCCAGUAUUUGGCUCCAGAGCCCACACUCCUGUGCACUUUGCCAAACUGACUCUGGAUUCAGAUAGGCUCCCCUUUCCUUUAUUAUGGCUGUGUAGUAUUUCAUUAUGCAGAUGUUUUAAAAACAUUUAUUCAAGGUGUGUGAUUGUUAAUACAGCUGUCCACCUCUCCAUAUUGUCGCAAUAUGUCACUUAAUGUCUUUUGUUUUUUAUGUCUGAAAAACUCUUCCCGUGCCUCUUUUGAAAUUAACUUCUAUUCAUCCCUGAGAACCUACUGCAGGUAGAACUUCCUCCAGAAAGCAAGCCUUCUUUGAUCUAUCGUCUAGGUUAGGUACCCUUGUCUGUAGUCCCAGUUUCCAGGGUUUCCCUCAAUCAUGGCCCUGGAUUUUUCCUGUAGUAAACAUUUGUUUGACUGAUUAUCCCAUUUGGUAGGAACUUCUGGAAGGCAGGUAUCUGACUUAUUUUCCUUUGUGGAUAUAUGUAAUGUCAGCACCUCUUGGGCACAAAACCCUCAUUCAGUGUCAACUGAAUGAUUAACAAGUGGACUUUGUAUCCAUGGUGCAGGCUCCAUUAAAAUUAAUGAAUGGAACAAAUUUAUAGGUGAAUAAACCUGAGAAUUAUUAUUAUCAUUGUUUUUUUGUACCAGAGAUUGAGCCCAGGGAUGCUUCACCACUGAGCCAUAUCAUAAGCCUUUUAAAUUUUUUUUUAAAUGCUGAGACAGGGUCUUGCUAAGUUGCGUAGGACCUUGCUAAGUUGCUGAGGCUGACUUUGAACUUGCAAUCUUCCUGCCAAGCUGCUGAGGUUAUAGGCAUGCACCACGGCACCGGACUGAAAAUUAAUUAAAAAAAAUUUUUUUUUUUUAGUUACAGAUGAACACCAUACCUUUAUUUUAUUUGUUUAUUUUGUAUGUGGUGCCGGGAUUGGACCCAGUGCCUCACGCAUGUUAGGCAAGCACUCUACCACUGAGCCACAGCCCUGGCCCAUGAAAAUUAAUUUUUCAUUAAGGAAAUAACACAUGCACAUGGUAAAAAUUCAAAAGCAAUGUUGUACCAUGAAAAGUCACGUUUCCUGUUUGAGUCUCCUAAUUCUACUUUCCAGAGGUAAUUACCUUCUAAGGCACAUGGAUCACAACACCGACCCUCCCAGUUUUCUGCUGUGGCCUGGCCUCUGCCUGGAAUGGUGGUCUUACCUUCUACUCCAGGGGAGAUCCUGCCCAUAUUUCCAGCCUUACUGUCAGAAAAUGUCACCUCUUGGGCUGGGGAUAUAGCUCAGUUGGUAGAGUGCUUGCCUCACAUGCACAAGGCCCUGGGUUCAAUCCCUAGCACCAAAAAAAAAAAAAAAAAAAAAGAAAAAGAAAAAGAAAAAAAAUGUCGCCUCUUAAACUGUCACCUUCAAAAGCCUUCCUGUAUUCUUGCUCAGAGUCCUUCAUGCGUAACUUUGGGGCUGGCAUGUGGCUUAGUGGUAGAAUGCUUGCCUGGCAGGCAUAAAACUCUGGGUUUGAUCCUCGGCAUAGCAAAACAAAGCAACAAGAAUCAUCAUAAUAAUAAACAAAACAGAACAAAAACGCUCAAAAAUCUCAAAAUAUGAGUUUGUCUUAUUAACCCACCUCCCUGGUUACUACCGGAGACCCUCCUGCCACCGUGGACUUUGCCUGCAUCCUGUGCUGUGGCCCUGUGGCACAGACUGUGGUUAAGACCCUGGACGCUGGGCUCCAGGACUGAGAUCUCUCAGUUCAAAGCAGAUCCCCUGGGCAGAGAGCACUAGGAUGUGGGUCCCCACCCAUGUGGCCGUGGCUUUUGAGGACUUCUGUGGAUCUCUUGGGUCCUAAAAAGUAGUUUGCAGACAACUGACCAAUUUUGACUCCUUUACUUAUAUAUGGGAGAAUUUGUGGCCUUUCGAGGGAGAAUUUGUGGCCUUUCGAGGUUAGACGACCUCCCCAAGGUCACACAAUGAGGGUCCCACUAGGACCGUACAUCCUGGCUGUCCUCGUUCCCAGUGGGAUAUUAAUUCCUGUGCUUCAUAAUCUACCCUGGAGCAAAGUGGGGAGCCACAGUGCUCUAAACUGUCCUCUGCUGGACAGAGCAGAGUGUGCUUGGUCAGCCGUCCAUGCAUUCACUAGCCAAACACACGGUGAACAGCUCCCGGGUCCCUGGCUCAGGGCUAGACACCGGGGACACACGGUGGCAAUACAGAGAUGGUCCCUGCUUACAGUCUAGUGCGGGGACAGAAAAUGAA